rnacentral:rRNA from 1 species
CUCGCUCCCGCUAUUUAUCCGACGGCACCCUCCGCGCUUAAACCCCUCGCGCUCCGCCCACUCCACCACACCGCCCUCCUCCCUCCUCCUGCUCCUCGCCCGCGGCGGCGUACGUCCUGCUGCUGCGCGCGCGCUCUAGCCUCGGUCCCUCCUUCGGUUCCAUGGCGGAGGCUCUGGGGUAGGACUGGACGUACGAGCGAGCUUUUCGGCUCGGCCCGAAGCUCGCUCCAGCUCGGCCCGUUACAGCUCGGCUCGAUAGGAUUAUCGAGCGGGCCGAGGUCUGAAAACAGGCCCGUUUCGCGACCGAGCCGAGCCGAGUUUCGGCCGGUCCAGCUCGGUGGCUCGCUUGUGGCCCAGCCCAAUUCCACCAUCGAUCACAAUAGCUAGCGCAUUAGGGCACGAGCAACCACAGCCAGAGUCUCUCGUCUCUCCCUUUCUCUGCUCUGCGCCGCCUCACCUCUCUCUCGCCACGCUGCAAAUCUGGAUCGACGGCGACGAGCGACGCCGCGCUUCCUCGCCAACUCGGCACCGACGGCGACGGGCGGCGCGACCGUUCCUCGCCACACCGGACAUAGUCGGACGCGCCUCCCCUGGUUUCUCGCGGAACGUGACGAGCCGGAGCAGACGCCUAUCGUCGCAACAAUGGACAAGCAAAAGGGGAAGGCGAGUGGGAAGGAGAAGGAGAAAGAGAGGACGUUGGACUCCAUUAUGAAGAGAAAGUUGCCGAGCUCGGGGAUGCAGAAGGGGAAUGGGAAGGGCAAUGCAGCAGCUACUACACGGCUGCCGAGGAAGCUGACAAAUGAUUCCAGCAAUGUCCCAAUCGCUGAGUUGUUGUAUAGGGUAAAAAAGAAACCUCCGCCUUGACGUCUCCCUAACCCCACCGGCGCUGGCGUGCGUGCCGGAAUCGCCGUUGCCUCCGGCUCUGCAAACUACUAUGAGAGGGAGGCUACAUCUUCGCAGGCAAUGAAGCAUGAUAAGCAAGCGGAGGAGGAUCAUGAAGAGGUGGAAGAGGACGAGGAGGAGGACGAGGAAGAGCAAGAUACUUUGUUUGAGGUGCCGCCUGGGGUUGGUGACAAAUCAGAUUCAGAUGGGUUUGUGGAUAGUGAAGAAGAAGCCUUCGAAGGUGAUAAGCAAGUGAAGAAGAAGCCUUCGAAGAAAUGGUCGAAGCCUUGGUGUGUGGUGCUAGUUAUAUCAAAGGUUCUCACAAGGACUUCAAUGUGGUGGAGAGGGAUGAAGAUGAGGAGGACGAUGUUGAGAAUAUCAAGUUGCCCAAGAUUGUUGAUGUGGGGGGUGACAACAAUUGAUAUUCGCCAUGUGGGUGUUGCUCUUGAUAUUUUGAAGAUGGAUGUCUACAUGAUCUUCUCAUGUGGAUUGUUGAGGUCAACGUGAUAAUUUCGUGCCAUUCUUUUGUUGUGAUGAACUUCGAAUUAUGUGUGCUGUUGUGAUGAACUAUGGACCUUGAAUGAUGUUGUGAUGAACCAUGCACUUUCAACAAUGUUGUUGUGAACUUGUGAUGAACUAUGAACUUUGGAUUAUGUGGUUUUCACUAGUCAUUGUUUGGCUGUCAACAUUUUCUCAGUUUUAUGUCAAAGUGGUAAGUGUUAUGCUAUGCAAAAUUUCCUUGUUUGGCUGUCAAUAUUUGAUGUUUUCCUGUGUAAAGUUCCAGUGAAGUGUUGUCCAAAAUUCAAUAGAAAUGCUGCCCAAUUCUUUCUCUCAUAUGUGUUCCAUUGUUACAAUUUUUGUAGAAGAAUUCAUAUAAGAACAUUAUUUUUCAUUACUAUGACCAUUUCUUAAAACAAUAGACUGCUGGAUUGUUCAUUUUUAGUAGUAUAAACUGUUUGUUUUCCAAAAUAUAGGUUUAAUUACCGCAAAAAAUCAAGUAUAUGCACUAUAUAUAGAGGUCUGUACUAUUAAAUGGUUCUGGGUGAAACUGGCUUACGAGCCGGCUCGGUCUGAGCCGAGCCAUAGCCAAAGCGAGCCGAGCCGGUUGAAGUAGGCUCGUUGGCUGAGCGAGCCGAGCCGAGCCGAGCCGCUCCAGAGCGAGCCAAAGCCAGGCUCGGAUCAAGCUCGGCUC